GGGUUCCUUCAUUGUGGGUGCAAGAUCCAGAGUGUCCAUGUGCUGCUCCCUGGGGACGUAGCUACCAUCUCUCCUCCAAAUACCCCCAGUCCCGCCAUAGUUCUUCACCAAGGAGCAACCAGCAUGUGCUCCCAGCAGAUGGAAGAGACAGGCUGCCAGCACAGCCUCAAAGGACCCAGACCCUGAGCAUCAGCAGAGCAAUAAGCCCAAGGCUUCCCCUGUGAUCCACACGGAGCUAGCCUGGAGCUCAAGCUCCUCUUCCUCAUGGCUGUGCUAUCCCUUUGUCCAGCUCAGCAUUCCUGGGACAUUCUACUGCCACCACCCUGUCCCCUCCCUUAGAAUCAAGGUCUUCUCCAGCCAGGGCUCAAAUCCUCCCAGGACAGGGAUGCCCCAGUACCCAGGGACCCAUCCCAGAAUGACAGCAACCCACGGCACCAAGGAUGAUGGAGGUGACAGGGACCUCAGGGUCCACCUGGUCCCACCCUGCUCCAGCAGGGACCCCAGGGCUGGGGCAGCCCUAUGCGAGCACACGAGUCCCAAAGAGGCCGGGCAGCGAGCGGGGAAGGAUUUAUUGACCGAGGGCUGGGGUACAUCACAGUUUGAGUUCCCUUCCCGCCUCCGCAGAGGACGUCGCAUUGGACUUCCCGGGCAAAGUGCGCGGAGAGGCUUCACAGUUUCAUCCUUCGAAAAUGAACCUGAAUAAAGAGCAUGAGAAGCA